CAAUAGCGUAUAUUUAAGUUGCUGCAGUUAAAAAGCUCGUAGUUGGAUUUCGGGUGGGAAUGGCCGGUCCGCCGUUUCGGUGUGCACUUGCUACGCCCACCUUGCUGCCGGGGACGUGCUCUUGAGUUCACGCUCGGGACACGGAGUCGGCGAGGUUACUUUGAGUAAAUUAGAGUGUUCAAAGCAGGCCUACGCUCUGAAUACAUUAGCAUGGAAUAACACGAUAGGACUCUGGCCUAUCUUGUUGGUCUGUAGGACCGGAGUAAUGAUUAAGAGGGACAGUCGGGGGCAUUCGUAUUUCAUUGUCAGAGGUGAAAUUCUUGGAUUUAUGAAAGACGAGCUACUGCGAAAGCAUUUGCCAAGGAUGCUUUCAUUAA
rnacentral:rRNA from 1 species